rnacentral:ribozyme from 13 species
AAAGGGAGAACUGAUAGAGACAAAAAAAGAAGAAAAAGAAUUUUCUUUUGCUUCUUUCUCCUCUAUUAAAGACAAAGCAUCUUCUUCUUCCUCUCUCACUUCAAAUUCUUGCAUUUCGAUCAUUUGGUCAGAAAGAGAAGAAGAGGAGAGAGGGGGAGAAGAAGAGGAAAAAGGCG